rnacentral:lncRNA from 15 species
AGCACAAAUCUCACCUUUGUGUCACUUGUCCUUGUAAGUUUUCUAUUGCCACACCUUGUUUGGCUCAUUGUGGUGUGUCAAGCCGUAACAGACCCAUUACUUCCCUGUGAGGCUCCAUACACCCACCAGUACGUGACAGUUGGUAAGAACUGCAGUUGUAGCAGCUGUUUUUCUCUCAGCGGCCUCAAGUGGCAACAAUGAGCCCAUUCCUUACUCCAAGUGACACAAGGGCCACUGUUAACCAUGCCAUAUACUGCAUUGCAACGUCAGGUCACUGGAUGUACAGCAUGAUCAUGGACUUUUAAUGGACUUCUUUUCCAUUCAGUGUGGAAUUUUCCAAGUACAGCCAGUGCUGCAGUGGUCAGAGUGAUGGCGUAAAGGAAGACGAAAAGGAAGGAGGCAGAAUGAAGGGUGAACGUGACUUAACACACACCAAAAAAAAACAAACACCCUUCUGAGCCCUUGUGAUGAAGGACCCACCACCUUAUCUUCCUCAGCAAAUUCAGUGGAAAAAUACCAGACAGACAUAAAGAUACAGAGGCAGCUGAGAUGGAGAGCCCCCAAAAACACCGACGAGCUGAAUGUUUAAAGUUAUUGUAAAGUGGAUGCUACAGAAUCUCUUAGUUAGUUUACUUUAAUUUUCAUUUAACUCAUUUAUAAAUAUUACGAAUCUGCCUAAACCCUAAUGGUGUUAAUAAAAAAGACAUACAUGAAAUAAAU